GUGAGUGUUUAGUCUGGCGCACGGCUUCGGGGGAGAUUGGCAGCUGGGUCAAACAAAGUCCUUCCUUUGGCUCUCUUCCCAGGCUGCUCUGCUAGUAUUUAGUGGGUCCUAGUGCUGUGUAGGGCCCUUUUCUCAGGCAAAAUCCUAACAUCUGACCGCACCCUCUCUGCAAAAAAAAAAAAAAAAAAAAAAAAAAAAAAGGAGAAAAGGGAAAAAAAAUAGCUGUUUCUGCUUCUUGCGUUAUAAGAUAAAUUCUCCUGGAGACAACCUCUCUCCCACUAAUUGUGUGUUAGCCAUGCAUUUUUAUCUUGAGAGCUGAAGCACUGGGCUCUCAAGUGGUGUGGAAAGCAGCCUGUUACAGUGAGAGAUUCACUUCAUAAAAGGGCUGCUAUGGUGUGUGAAAGAAUAUCUGUGUGCUUAGGCAGGAAACUUUUUGAUCUCCAGAAAAGCCAGAAGACAUCUAGCACACCAGUAGGGGUGAUCAUCAAAGUGAGCUGUAUGCACUAUGGAGAGAUUCUACAAAACCCACUGGGACAAACAGCAGACGAACCCACAAACCUGUUCACUGUUACCCUUAAUGGUCACCCAGAAAGCAACUAUAAAGGACAGACUGCUUCAUGCGGAAAAGAGCAGAACAGUACAGAUCGGAGACCUUGGACAAAGCCAAAACAAUAACAUAAAAGCUACCAGGAGGUCACAAUGUUCCUGUAAAGACAGGAAGGCCAGUGUGCCCUACAUAGACAUGGUCCCACUUCCCUUUCUCCUUCUGGACGUCUCAGGCCUCAAUAGCACACCCUACACUGGAAACCAAGCUGGCAUAUCUUUGAGUCUCUUCUUCCUACGACUUCUGUUUAGGCAACAGAAGGACUACUUGUAGUUUCAUUAGUAAAUAUGUGAAAUCCCUGCCCAUCUAAUAUAGUAUUUGAGGCUUUCUGCUGGUUUGUAUGUUUGUUUUCUCAUUUGGGUGUUUAUUGUACCUUACAACUGUGUAUAAUUGUAUUUCAAAGGCCUUUGAAUGUGUGUCUUAGUGCCAGAAAAUUCAAUUAGAAAAUACUGACUUCUUUAUAUAAAGUUCUGCAUACCUAGAUAUAUCCAGAAAUGUUUCUGACAGUUCAGCUUCUGUCUUCUUUAAAAAAUAUAAGCACAUAUAAAAAGAUACAUAAGUAUUUGUACCAGUAAAUUAUUGCUAAAGUUAAAUUAAGUGACAGUUUUAUUCAGGGUAACAGGUGUGAAUUUAUGUUGAAGUGAAAAUUGGGUAAAGUUACCAUAUAAAGAUACACGGAGGAGGGCCUAGGCCUCCCCCAAAUGAUGUGACAGACUUUGAUGAUCCUCCAUGGAAGGCCUCACUCUCUUUAG
rnacentral:lncRNA from 1 species